GUUUUGCGCGAGUGUUUGGGUGUAAAACCCGCACGCGUAAUGAAAGUGAACGUAGGUGAGAGCUUCGGCGCAUCAUCGACCGAUCCUGAUGUUUUCGGAUGGAUUUGAGUAGGAGCGUUAAGCCUUGGACCCUAAAGAUGGUGAACUAUGCUUGGAUAGGGUGAAGCCAGAGGAAACUCUGGUGGAGGCUCGCAGCGGUUCUGACGUGCAAAUCGAUCGUCAAAUCUGAGCAUGGGGGCGAAAGACUAAUCGAACCAUCUAGUAGCUGGUUACCGCCGAAGUUUCCCUCAGGAUAGCAGUGUUGUCUUCAGUUUUAUGAGGUAAAGCGAAUGAUUAGGGACUCGGGGGCGCUUUUUAGCCUUCAUCCAUUCUCAAACUUUAAAU
rnacentral:rRNA from 1 species